rnacentral:lncRNA from 10 species
GCCGCGUCCACGCUCCAGCGGGAAGUUGCACAGGUUUAAAGCCUGUAGGCACCACCGCCGGCUCCUGCCGCCGCGUAGGUUGCGGUCGGCUGCGGCGCGCUUUCUGAAGUGGCCGAGCUCCUAGACAGGAGCAAAGAAGCCAGCGGCUCGGCCAUUUAGCUCCCGACGCGGCGAUGAGGACGGCGCCGAGGGCCUGGGGCUAGGUGGGCGGGUAGGGGGAGUAUCGCCCAAGCCGUCCUGGACCCAGCGCGUCCCCAGCCAAAACCCCAGGAGGCGGCCACCAACCCCAGGGUCGGGAGUCCCAAGGGCACGGGGCCACUCCGGACGGCGCGACCGGGUCCAAGAGCAGGAAGUUCCAGCGAGAUUCGCAGAUUAACGCUUGAUCCGGGAGAGGGAGAAAGGGAAGUAGGAGUAAAAAGAGCGAGCUGGAGCGUGAAAGAAGGAAUGUCUGCGUGAGGGGGGACGUAAGGGACAACGUCUUGCUAUGUUGCCUGGACUGAACUCGAACUACCCAGCUCAAGCAAUCCUCCCAAGUAGCUGGAACUACAGGGUCGCACUGUGUUUUAUCUAAGUUUUAAGAAUAUAUAUUUCACCCCACACCCUCUUGCCAUGAGACUCAAUAAAAAUAUAUAUACAGGCAGUGGGGGUAUGAAAAGGCUGCUCAUUAAUCCUAACUCUAACAUUCUGUUCUCUGGUUCUAAGUGUCUGUACCAAGAGAAAUUAACAAGAAUUGGCAAAUACUAGAUUGAAUCGACUCUCUUUUUAAAUGUCAUUUACCCUUUUUGGUAUAAAUGCAUGGCUCUGCAGUUAAGAAUACAAUUAAACUCUCUCUCCUCAGAUAGGCAGCCCAGUAGCCCAAAGAAAUCGAACUGCCAGCUUUUCAGUCAGAUAGAGCCUAUAAUUCAAUUAACAAUGCAGACAGUAUCAAGGCUAAUCAAUGCUACACUCUGAAAAGAGAGGGAUUUGUGGAUUGAGUUUAUCUUUAUAAUGAUUAUUAACAAUUUAUCAAAACAUAUAGAAUUAGAUAAAUUAUUAAUGAAGCAUGCAAAGUUAAAAAAAAAGAGUGGGUACAUUGAGUGGAUCAGUGCUACAAGAUUUGAGAGGAAAGAGCAUGCUUCUGCCCUAGAGGCAACAGAGGCUUCGCUGAGUGGGAGGGAUGUAACCCCAGAGCUGGGCCUCCAAGGGUGGACUGGAAACUUACAUGGCCAUCAAUCAUCUCCUAGGGCAGUAAGCGUGUGAGCCAAAGACGGCUCAGGGUCCUAAAAUAAAUUCCUUUCAGUCCAGUCUCAAUGCUUC